UACGGAGGGUGCAAGCGUUGUCCGGAAUCAUUGGGCGUAAAGAGUUCGUAGGUGGCAUGUUAAGUCUGGUGUUAAAGCCCGAAGCUCAACUUCGGUUCGGCACUGGAUACUGGCAAGCUUGAAUGUGGUAGAGGUAAAGGGAAUUCCUGGUGUAGCGGUGAAAUGCGUAGAUAUCAGGAGGAACAUCGGUGGCGUAAGCGCUUUACUGGGCCAUAAUUGACACUGAGGAACGAAAGCCGGGGUAGCAAAUGGG
rnacentral:rRNA from 1 species